AACGCAGCUGGCGCCCCGCGGUCGCGCCGCGGGGCAUGUCCGUCUGUGGCCGUGCGCCCCUUGCACUUGGACGCCGCGCGGCGUCUGCAAUGCACGCGUGCGGCUUGCUGUGCGCAGCGGCACAGACGGGCAGGACGACCCGCCGAACUUAA
rnacentral:misc_RNA from 1 species